rnacentral:rRNA from 13 species
GGCGUUUGCAAAAAGUUACCUCGUUCGACAGAACUUGGCAAUCUGUAAUGAGCGUCAAAGUUGGGAUAGAUGAUUGCAAUUGUUCAUCUUGAACAAGGAAUAUCUAGUAAACGCAAGUCAUCAACUUGCAUUGAUUACGUCCCCGCCUACCAAACACACC